CUUGAACUUUUUUGGUAUCAGCAGACCCCGACCCCUCUGGGGCAAGGGCUGUGGGGUGCCUUGAGAGUCUCGUUUCCAUUUUGCCCCGUUUCCGCAGGGAGCUGCAGCAAUUCUGGGGCAGGCGGCUGUGCCCCGAGACGGUGCGGGACCGCCUGGUGCCGUUCACGUCGCUGGUGUCCGGGCUGCCCGGGGCUGGUGGAGCGUCCCCCACGCUGCCACCGGCCAGGAGGUGCCCGGUGUUUGCACGCUGCACUCGCAUCUGGGUCUGCGUUUGCAGGAGCAGAUUUAGUGAUCUGGUGGCCCAAGUUCUUACCAGCAGACCUCUGCAUCUCUCCUGCUCGUGGUUUUCUCUCACACAUCUUCUCUUCCAGGCUAUUAAGGUGGGGAAGUGUGCAACUGUGUUUAAGUUGUGGUUAGGUUGUCUUCUCUUUGCAGUCAGAUUCCCAUGGACCGUUUCCAUGGAAAAAGAAAAAUUCCUCCAGAAAUUAGAAGCAGGUUUGCCGUGUGAGAGAUCAGUGUGUUAAUAGGAAUUAUCUCUUGAGUCUGGCUGGUUCCCAAGUCUCUGAGUCACCCUCUCAUUUAGUGAACCCUGGUGUGGUUCUGGGACGGGGUAAGCUUCAGGCUUUUCUGGACUCGAUUGUGCUGUCACAGCAUCUGCAGCCCCCUUAAAGCACGUACUGGGCUCUCUUGCAAAGGCUUUACCACUCUCAGCCGGUAAAGGAGAGGUGAUGGGCGAGUGAGCUUCUCUGCACCCCUUGGGCUUGAUUAAAGGUUACAACACAGUGAUUGACUCUUGGACCUAACGGACUUUGGCUCAGCUCCAUCCAAAUCCACAUUGAAGGGACCUCUCCGCUUGGUUUCUUCUUUGUAGUUACAUCUUAACCCUGGUACUCAGGGAAAGCUGUAUUGGCCUGCCUCCCGGGUCUGGCUUGGGGAGAUAGGCACUGCGCUCCCGGCCCCAUGUGCAAGGGGAGCAGAGGGUGUCCCACUGUCCCGCCUGUCAUCAGCCAAGGCUCCACGGGUGGGUAAUGAGGGCAGACUACCCCAUCCCCUGCCGGAGCUGGGCAGAAAGAUGUAAUUCUUUCUUCUGUCCAGCAACAUGAGUCUCUCAAACUUGGCAAAAGUAUCCUCCUCCUCUGCUGCAUCUGGUCUUUGGGGUAGGGAAGGUCUGGAAGAAGAGGGGUAAGAAGUUGAAUUGAUUUUUUUAAAACCUGAUUCACCUCCGUCCUAAAGGGAUUCUGUGCCGUGGUCACAUCUGACCAGCGGAGCCUGGAUUUGGUCCAUAAGAGAUCAGUCACUACUAAAAAAGCUUAUGAGGGAUUUCAGAAGGAUUUGCUGGGAGGGUAUGAGUAGGAGAAAGACACAUCUGUGAAUCCCCUGUUUGUACACAUUUUCUGAAGAUGCUUUUGGAGACUACAACAGAGCUAGAUGGACCUUGGGACAAAGCUGGUGUGGCUGGCCUUAUGACUUAACCAUAUGGGUGGCUAGAACCGGAGGAAACCACAGGUAAGACUCUGUGUAGACCAGCACAAGAUAGUACCCACUGGAAGGAAGGAUUAGAAAUACCAUGCAAGUUGUCGGGUUUUUAAUUGGCUGUAACCACUCAGGAAAAACACGUAGGCAUCGCUUGUGGACAGCUCAGUGAAAACCUGUGUGCAGCGGUAGGCAAGAAUGCAAACAAGAUGUUAGGCCACGGAGAGAGGAGAUAAUGCUGAAAACAUUUGGCCCUGUUAUGAAAAAUCAAUCCAGGAUCCCCAGGAGACUGCUUGGCUUUGGUCCCCUCCUCUCAAUAAGGAGACAGCAAAAAUAGAAACAGCCUAAUAAAAUGAUUAUGGAUCCACA
rnacentral:lncRNA from 1 species